CUUUAUCUCUUCCUAUAUUCUAUACCAUUUGCAUAAAAUGAAAUAUCUUACUUUUUCAUAUAUUUAUCAUAUUAUAAAUAUAUACUAUAUUAUACUUUAUAUUUGGUUUAGGGCACUACAAAAAAAAUUAACAUUCAUAGCAUAAUAUUAUAGCUCGUUUUUACUAAACUGCUAUUGUAGAUGAGUAUAAAAUUUUAGAAAUCUAUAACAGCAUUACCUAAAUGCUAUAAAAUAAUUUUAGUAAGUUGGAACCUAAAAUCAGGUACUGAAAAUCAUAAACGUUCCCUCUCCCAUCUCUCGUUUUCCCUCUCUCUUAACUCUCAUUUUCCCUCUUUCUCCUAGAACGAACCCUAAGAAAACAAAUCCUGUCAAUCACCACAACCCUCUCCCUUCGAUUCACAAAUAAUCAACCAAGAUUCAAGUCUGUCUCGACCAUGAUGAAUAUGCUUCGAGCAACAUACAUAGAUGGCGUAAUCCCUAUCAUCAAUCGCAUCAUCAUCUUUCUCAGAUCCAGAAUCCGAUUCAGAUAUCAUCAACGAACUUGUUCCAUCUCGACGACUAUGUAAUCUCCAAAUUCAUCAUCUCCACGACCUUGCUUCAUCCUCGUCUUCUUCGUCGCCACUCAGCUCCACACCAAAACCGAGCUCAGUCUCCAAGAUUUCGCCGACGCAAAAUUGACUUUUCUCAGUCCCAAUCUUCGCUUGGUCCGAAGAAAAAUUAACUCCGUCUCCAAGAGCUUUGCCGUUAAGUUCGUCGUGGUGUCAUCGUCAACCUAUUUGCAGACUGGCCUAGAAAAGGAAGAUAACUGUGUUAUGGUCUGUUUGUUGCAGAUGUUUUGAAUAGGGUAAUGAAUUCCACAGCUCAAAACGAGCAAAGGCUUUGCUUCAGUCAAUACGCAGUGGCCUCUGGUCUCCAAAAUACAGAGCAUCUGUACAAAUGAAGAGCAGUGGCCUCUAACCAGUAUGUUGGUGUUGGAAAGUGACAGCAAUUCUCUCGCUCAGUUCCUCUAUCCCUUUAGCUAAACGAUUCUACUUCUUUCGAUUGUUUGUUGCCAUGUAUCUAACUUGCAGUAGGUGGAUUAAGCUCUCUAAGAGAAAACCUGCUCUUUAGAAGCCAGUGUACUCUGUAUUUCCACAACACAAGAACUCAUCUCACAACAAUCUACAGAAAUGGAGACUGAAUACAUAUGUAAUGUGAUUUUUUUGUGCUGGUAAAGGUGGAGGUCGGGAGCAGAGUGGCCGUGAGAAGAGUGGUCAUGAGCAAAGUGGACGUGGGCAGAGAAGACGUCUCGAGCUUGCCCCUCACGGUCGUCGUCGAUGGUGCCGGAGAUGGAGACAGAAUGGAGGAAGACAUCCAGAAGAAAGAGGCUAAGGAGGAGGGAGGCGGCAGCAGAGAGAUUAGGUUUAGAGUUAAUUAGGGUCUGGUUAAUUAGGUUUAGAUUUUGGUUAAUUAGUUUUUGGUUUAGUGUGUUCCGGUUGCUUAUAUUUUUAAAAAAAUUAUGGUUUAGAUUUGUAAAAACAAAUUUUAUUUGUAAGUUGAUUUUAAUUAAUAAAAUAAUUAAAUUUAAA